rnacentral:rRNA from 1 species
AUUGAACGCUGGCGGAAUGCUUUACACAUGCAAGUCGAACGGCAGCACGGACUUCGGUCUGGUGGCGAGUGGCGAACGGGUGAGUAAUGUAUCGGAACGUGCCCAGUCGUGGGGGAUAACGUAGUGAAAAUUACGCUAAUACCGCAUACGAUCUAUGGAUGAAAGCGGGGGAUCGCAAGACCUCGCGCGAUUGGAGCGGCCGAUAUCAGAUUAGGUAGUUGGUGGGGUAAAGGCCCACCAAGCCAACGAUCUGUAGCUGGGCUGAGAGGACGACCAGCCACACUGGAACUGAUACACGGCCCAGACUCCUACGGGAGGCAGCAGUGGGGAAUUUUGGACAAUGGGCGAAAGCCUGAUCCAGCCAUUCCGCGUGCAGGAUGAAGGCCCUCGGGUUGUAAACUGCUUUUGUACAGAACGAAAAGGUUUCUACUAAUACUAGGAGCUCACGACGGUACUGUAAGAAUAAGCACCGGCUAACUACGUGCCAGCCGCCGCGGUAA